UGAUGCGAGGCGUGCAAAACAAUCAAACUUUGAUCGAUUGAACUGGAGAGAAGGUGUUGCAAAAUGCAUUAUACCAUUUCAGGGCGUAGAACUUUAACCUUUGCGCACGAAGCACAUUGCAUCACUCUUAUCGAUUGAUUAGUUCAUUCAGUAGAUUGUACGCUGAAUGGAAACUCUUCUUUAAAAUUACAUUCCUGUAUCCAAGAAACCUUUGUUUUGUAACCAAAUUGUCAUUCUUUCUCUUCAAAAUCGUCAACUCUGUCCAAAUUAUUAGCUUCUCUAAUGUUAUCUCCUGCAAUUCUUCACAUCCUUCUCGAAUCAAAUCAUGUUUUAACAAUUACAACCAUCUGUCAACACUUGAAACAGCGCUUUCCUGAUGUAGUACCUUCGGAGGUCUCUCUCCGCACUGCCGUCAUAGAAAGUGUUCUCCAAUCAUGUGACUUUGGUUUUAUCGUAUACGACCAUCGUAAUAAUGGCUACAAACUUGCCUAUCGUUGGCAAACGAAAGAAACUGUACAGUUUGAAGCACAGCUACGUCAUGUCCUCUCCGAAUGGCAAAAGCCAAUCAGAAAAAAGCAAUACAAACUGCUGAAACUUUCCAAAGGAAAUUAACAAGGACCAAAUUAGUAGAGAUCGACAGGGCGGAACAAAUCUAUUGGAAUGAGUGAAAAUAAACAUUCCUUCACUGUGAUAUGAAAA